rnacentral:lncRNA from 1 species
AACAAAACACUGACCUUGGUCCACAGACAACACCCGCGUCCACGUGGUGGGUGGGGCUGGCUCCGUCAGAGGAUGGGAAGAUGAGAAGUGCUUGUCGCAGGCCUGGAGAUGGAGACCACCCAGGCAUGCAGGGGAUGCUGCCUCUCCUCCAUCCAACAACAAGCCUGCGUGUGCCCAGCCCCCUCUGGUACACGCAUUGCUCCCCAUCCUCGGCAUUGAUCAAUUGAAAAUAAGACCUUGGAAGAACCCCUUGCAAAGCUGACAUUGUACGAGCCAAGGCAGCGGCCCCGGAGAGGGUCAGCGAGGGGCCUCCACUGUCUGAGUCCGCUCCUGGCAACGCCUGCUCUCUGCACUCAGAGGCCCGGUCCCGGCAGCUGCCACGUUGCUCAGAAGUUCUGGCAGGGGGAGCCUGAAACCCCUGUCUGCUGGCGACACUCCCGGAGCGGCAGGAAAUCUCUACAUUUUAUUUUUUUUCUUAACAGACAAAAGUAUUUGACUCCAGAAUGAUUUCCAGGAAUUACAGUAUGAGAACUUAGUCUUUGAGAUUUUUAUUUUCUUCUUAAAAAAAUAAAAAUGAAAUCAAAGCAGAAGACACUGGUUGAGCAGACAGCACACUAGCACAUUCCACUUCGCAACAAAACCUGCGU